CUUCUUUGCUUUUCUUUUUUCAGGGGUCAGAAGCACAUGUUCUCGUUGGUAUAACUUACUACAUCAGCAUUUUUCUUGAGUAAUUAUGGAAAGGAGCCACGGGUGUUGAAGAAGGCUUGAUUUCAGGCACAGACAGCUCAGGCUUGCUCCUGGCAGGAUGAAGCAGAUCCCAGAUGUGCUUUGGGGGCAUGUGGCUCGAGGUAGCUCCUGCUCUCCCACCAACAAGAGGCCCUGCUGACCCGAUCCUUUGUGACUGCCUGGACACAGUACUAUUACCCGCGCUGGGACUUUGCUUGCUCUCAAUAUACCCUCAGGAGUAUCUGCAGAUCUACAUAAAUAUAUUUAUCCGGUGCUAGGCUGUGCCAUAUCGAGCAUGACUUUCAUCCUCUGGAUCUACAGACAUCAAGAGAGAUAGGAGGAUCCCCUUCCACGUCUGCAGCUUAUGGGGUUUUCAGGGAGGAAGGAAGAAACAAGAAUGAGAAGACUAUUUCUGCAGAACAUCGAGAUAUUUCAUGAAUCACAUGCUCUUACUGAGGAAGAAGAGACAGCGAAAAGGAAGCAAUGAUGAAGAACUCAAGCAUGUGUUCCUUCAGACAUCUUUACAACUAAACAUCACUUAUUUAUCACUUCAUAAGGUUUGUGCUUUGGAUUGCAUGCCACUUCGAGAAAAUGGACAGUUAAUUAUUAGCACAUGUACUGAUUACUGAGAACAGCAAAAUUAAGGUAUACUUUUAAAAAGAAAUUAAAAAUUAAGAACUAUUAAAAAUGUUGAGAUUUCUCAUGCCAGUCAGCGUGUUAAUGAACUCAAUGCUUUGUGUGCAAAUGCUUUGAAAAUAACAGUAGCUUUCAACUAUUAAAAAAAAAAAAGGGGGAUCAGAUUUAAUAUUUUAGAAAUAAAUUCUAUAGAAUACAUUCUCUGAGUUAAUUCUAUUUUUUAAAGUAUUUUACAACAUAUGCUUUGUGACCAUGGUAAAGUAGGUGAUAAAAUU
rnacentral:lncRNA from 7 species